rnacentral:rRNA from 1 species
GAUGAACGCUGGCGGCGUGCCUAAUACAUGCAAGUCGAGCGAACGGACGAGAAGCUUGCUUCUCUGAUGUUAGCGGCGGACGGGUGAGUAACACGUGGAUAACCUACCUAUAAGACUGGGAUAACUUCGGGAAACCGGAGCUAAUACCGGAUGAUAUUUUGAACCGCAUGGUUCAAAAGUGAAAGACGGUCUUGCUGUCACUUAUAGAUGGAUCCGCGCUGCAUUAGCUAGUUGGUAAGGUAGCGGCUUACCAAGGCAACGAUGCAUAGCCGACCUGAGAGGAUGAUCGGCCACACUGGAACUGAGACACGGUCCAGACUCCUACGGGAGGCAGCAGUAGGGAAUCUUCCGCAAUGGGCGAAAGCCUGCCGGAGCAACGCCGCGUGAGUGAUGAAGGUCUUCGGAUCGUAAAACUCUGUUAUUAGGGAAGAACAUAUGUGUAAGUAACUGUGCACAUCUUGACGGUACCUAAUCAGAAAGCCACGGCUAACUACGUG